rnacentral:rRNA from 1 species
CCUACGGGGGGCUGCAGUGGGGAAUAUUGGACAAUGGGCGAAAGCCUGAUCCAGCCAUGCCGCGUGUGUGAAGAAGGCCUUCGGGUUGUAAAGCACUUUCAGUGGGGAAGAAAGCCUUGGGGCUAAUACCCUCGAGGAAGGACAUCACCCACAGAAGAAGCACCGGCUAACUCCGUGCCAGCAGCCGCGGUAAUACGGAGGGUGCGAGCGUUAAUCGGAAUUACUGGGCGUAAAGCGCGCGUAGGCGGUCUGAUAAGCCGGUUGUGAAAGCCCCGGGCUCAACCUGGGAACGGCAUCCGGAACUGUCAGGCUAGAGUGCAGGAGAGGAAGGUAGAAUUCCCGGUGUAGAGGUGAAAUGCGUAGAGAUCGGGAGGAAUACCAGUGGCGAAGGCGGCCUUCUGGACUGACACUGACGCUGAGGUGCGAAAGCGUGGGUAGCAAACAGGAUUAGAUACCCUGGUAGU